UACAGAGACACAAGUACAGGCGACUGGGCAUCUUCCUGGAAUCUGGCUGUAGUCAACAUGUUUAUUGGUCGUGGAAGGAGCAGCUACAGCCAAGAGUAGAGAUUAAUAACAUUAUGCAGGAAGAGUCAUCUGCUUUGGAACUUCCUCCCAUGGGAGGGUGACUUCAACAAUAACAGCCAACCUUAUUGUGUUUUGACUACAUUCAGGUCACUGUGCUUAGUGCUUGAUAACGACCACGACCAUAACAACUGUCAACAUUGAUGGGAUGCUUACUACCUAGUGAACACUGUGAUAAAAGCUUUCCGUGAGACAGCUUAUUGAAUCUUUACAACAAAUCUAGGAGAAAAUGCCCAAAGACCCAGAGGAAAUAUGGAGCACUCAGCCACUGCAUCCUAGACAUCAACUGUCUCUACUUAAUCAAAUCUGCAUCUCUUCAGGAUGUUUUGCUAACACCUGGAAUAGGGAUGCUUGAAGACAGAAGCACUUGGAAAAACUGCCUGUGCUCCUAUAUCCAUUUCUGUAAUAAUUAAAUAGAAGAAAGAGAAGGAAGAUUGUCUGCACUUGACUAUUAGCCCCGUAUACCUGAUAUAAUCUAACAGCCACAACUCCAGAAAAUGGAUAAUGUUCAGUUCACUUAGGAGAUUUAAAAAAAAUGGAGAUUCAGAAAGAUGAGGUGACUGACCCAAGGAUACCCAGUUAAGAUUGGUUCAGGGUUUAAGCUGGGCCCAUGGUCUUCCUGCUAAACGACAUUGGCUCUGUCAUGACCAUU